AGGUAAUGGCUCACCAAGGCUGCGAUCCGUAGCUGGUCUGAGAGGAUGAUCAGCCACAUCGGGACUGAGACACGGCCCGAACUCCUACGGGAGGCAGCAGUGGGGAAUAUUGGACAAUGGGCGAAAGCCUGAUCCAGCCAUGCCGCGUGUGUGAAGAAGGCUUUCGGGUUGUAAAGCACUUUCAGUGGGGAAGAAAUCCUCGGGGCCAAUACCCUCGAGGGAGGACAUCACCCACAGAAGAAGCACCGGCUAACUCCGUGCCAGCAGCCGCGGUAAUACGGAGGGUGCGAGCGUUAAUCGGAAUUACUGGGCGUAAAGCGCGCGUAGGCGGCGUGAUAAGCCGGUUGUGAAAGCCCCGGGCUCAACCUGGGAACGGCAUCCGGAACUGUCAGGCUAGAGUGCAGGAGAGGAAGGUAGAAUUCCCGGUGUAGCGGUGAAAUGCGUAGAGAUCGGGAGGAAUACCAGUGGCGAAGGCGGCCUUCUGGACUGACACUGACGCUGAGGUGCGAAAGCGUGGGUAGCAAACAGGAUUAGAUACCCUGGUAGUCCACGCCGUAAACGAUGUCGACUAGCCGUUGGGGUCCUUGUGACCUUUGUGGCGCAGUUAACGCGAUAAGUCGACCGCCUGGGGAGUACGGCCGCAAGGUUAAAACUCAAAUGAAUUGACGGGGGCCCGCACAAGCGGUGGAGCAUGUGGUUUAAUUCGAUGCAACGCGAAGAACCUUACCUACUC
rnacentral:rRNA from 1 species